UACGGAGGGUGCAAGCGUUGUCCGGAUUUAUUGGGUUUAAAGGGUGCGUAGGCGGCCCGUUAAGUCAGUGGUGAAAGCCUCCAGCUCAACUGGAGAACUGCCAUUGAAACGGGGACGCUUGAGUCCGAGAGAGGAUGGCGGAAUUCCUAGUGUAGAGGUGAAAUUCGUAGAUAUUAGGAAGAACACCAGUGGCGAAGGCGGCCAUCUGGCUCGGUACUGACGCUCAGGUUCGAAAGCGUGGGGAGCAAACAGG
rnacentral:rRNA from 1 species